rnacentral:rRNA from 1 species
UCGGGAAUAUUGCGGCAAUGGAGGAAACUCUGACGCAGUGACGCCGCGUAUAGGAAGAAGGUUUUCGGAUUGUAAACUAUUGUCGUUAGGGAAGAAAAAGACAGUACCUAAGGAGGAAGCUCCGGCUAACUACGUGCCAGCAGCCGCGGUAAUACGUAGGGAGCGAGCGUUAUCCGGAUUUAUUGGGUGUAAAGGGUGCGUAGACGGGUUAGCAAGUUAGUUGUGAAAUCCCUCGGCUUAACUGAGGAACUGCAGCUAAAACUAUUAAUCUUGAGUGCAGGAGAGGUAAGUGGAAUUCCUAGUGUAGCGGUGAAAUGCGUAGAUAUUAGGAGGAACACCAGUGGCGAAGGCGACUUACUGGACUGUAACUGACGUUGAGGCGCGAAAGUGUGGGGAGCAAACAGGAUUAGAUACCCUGGUAGU